rnacentral:rRNA from 1 species
GACGAACGCUGGCGGCGUGCCUAAUACAUGCAAGUCGAACGCAGUGGGGACGGGUGAGUAACACGUGGGUAACCUCCCAUCAGAGGGGAUAACCCUUGGAAACAGGUGCUAAAACGACACUGAUGGAUGGACUCGCGGUGCAGUAGCUUGUUGGCGAGGUAACGGCCCACCAAGGCCACGAUGCAUAGCGGACCGGAGAGGGUGAUCGGCCACACGUGGACUGAGACAGGGACAAGACUCCUACGGGAGGCAGCAGUAGGGAAUCUUCGGAAAUGGACGAAAGUCUGACCGAGCAACGCCGCGUGAGUGAAGAAGGUUUUCGGAUCGUAAAACUCUGUUGUUAGAGAAGCGGUAUCUAACCAGAAAGCCACGGCUAACUACGUGCCAGCAGCCGCGGUAAUUC